AUCACUCAAGUCUCAAUGCUGGUAUUUUAUCAAAAGCUUGAAUGAAUAUCAAGGCUGAGGACAACGGAGAAAGAUGAGGCUCAGAAGAGCAGUCGUUGUGUGACAACACAAGCUGGACAGAUUCUUCCAUGUUUACUCCACUGCUUAACACUUUACUGCAUUUAACAGUCUCAUACAAAUCAGGUUUCCAGUCAGGUGUCCCAACUCAGAGCUCUGCACCAGUACAGCUCCUGCAGAGAUGCCACCAGCACUGGAUGGAGCAGUGUGGUGUUUCCAGACUUGGGAUCAGAUUGAUCUGUGUAUGAUAUGAACAAUUUACAGAAGGUCAACACACCCUGCUAAGUGCACUGGAAUGACAAAGCUGAAUUUCACAGAAAGCCAUUGAGCAGGCACACUAGAAUGAGGAGGUGGAAGGAAUAGCAUAAGAAGACAAAGUAGAAAAAUCACAGAAGGUAAGAGAAAUGGAAGAAAAGAACACAAAAUGAAAUUUAAAAAGCGAUCUGAACAGAAUUUUUGGCUUUAAGCACUUCUCAGCUUUGGGAGUGACUUGACUUCUCUUUUUCUGAAGCACUUAAGCACCUUUCU
rnacentral:lncRNA from 1 species